rnacentral:rRNA from 1 species
GCGCACGCUGGCGGCAGGCCUAACACAUGCAAGUCGAACGAACUCUUCGGAGUUAGUGGCGGACGGGUGAGUAACACGUGGGAACGUGCCUUUUGGUUCGGAAUAACUCAGGGAAACUUGUUCUAAUACCGAAUGUGCCCUUCGGGGGAAAGAUUUAUCGCCAUUAGAGCGGCCCGCGUCUGAUUAGCUAGUUGGUGAGGUAACGGCUCACCAAGGCGACGAUCAGUAGCUGGUCUGAGAGGAUGACCAGCCACACUGGGACUGAGACACGGCCCAGACUCCUACGGGAGGCAGCAGUGGGGAAUCUUGCGCAAUGGGCGAAAGCCUGACGCAGCCAUGCCGCGUGAAUGAUGAAGGUCUUAGGAUUGUAAAAUUCUUUCACCGGGGACGAUAAUGACGGUACCCGGAGAAGAAGCCCCGGCUAACUUCGUG